UAAAUCAACACAGAAACUGCCAACAGAGAAACUGCCAGAUACUUUGGACCAGACUGUCCCAAGUGUGGGCUGCCUGGGGACAUAAGACACAGCGCCAAGGGUCCCCAAGGGUCCUGCUGAAGAGGCCCCUUUCCUCUGAGAACUGCUGCGUGGAUGGGUUAGAAAUCUGCCUACACUUCAUGGGGACAGGAUGGCCAGCAGUACCCCAGGCCCCCCACCCGGAAGCCAACCUAGAAUGAACAUCAAGAUUUGGCUCAGCAGUGGGGAAACAAUCGGAGCAUUCCACUCAGAGCAGAUGCGCACACCCCUGCUGGCCACACUCGGCUCUGGUCACGAUCAUCAUGCUACAACUUCCUGCUGUGACAAGAUGACCAGCAACAACCGGCAUCGCUAUUGGCAAGGGCAGCAAAGCCCCCUUAUGUGCAAAUGUUACAGUGAGCAAGCCUGAAAAUGGGAGCGAACCCGCUCAGCCCACCAUGGAUUUCUGAACUAAUAUUUAAUAAGGUAGAAGGGAAGAGAUGAAAGCCCUGUCUGCUCUUCCAGAAAAAUAACCAUUUUAA